UACGUAGGGGGCGAGCGUUGUCCGAAUUUACUGGGCGUAAAGCGCGCGUAGGCGGUCAUUUAAGUCUGAGGUGAAAGGUUCAGCGCUCAACGUGAACAGUGCCUUGGAUACUGGGUGACUUGAGUUCGGGAGGGGGCAGUGGAAUUCCAGGUGUAGCGGUGAAAUGCGUAGAUAUCUGGAGGAACACCGAUGGCGAAGGCAGCUGCCUGGCCCAGAACUGACGCUGAGGUGCGAAAGCGUGGGGAGCGAACGGG
rnacentral:rRNA from 1 species